UACAGAGGGGGCAAGCGUUGUUCGGAAUUACUGGGCGUAAAGGGCGCGUAGGUGGCCUUCUAAGUUGAACGUGAAAUCCCUGGGCUCAACCCAGGAACUGCGUCCAAGACUGGGAGGCUUGAAUCCGGGAGAGGGAUGCGGAAUUCCAGGUGUAGCGGUGAAAUUCGUAGAUAUUCGGAAGAACACCAGUGGCGAAGGCGACUCGCUGGACAAGUAUUGACGCUGAGGUGCGAAAGCGUGGGGAGCAAACAGG
rnacentral:rRNA from 1 species